rnacentral:rRNA from 1 species
ACGGAAGGCAGCAGUGGGGAAUAUUGCACAAUGGGGGAAACCCUGAUGCAGCGACGCCGCGUGAGUGAUGAAGUAUUUCGGUAUGUAAAGCUCUAUCAGCAGGGAAGAAAAUGACGGUACCUGACUAAGAAGCUCCGGCUAAAUACGUGCCAGCAGCCGCGGUAAUACGUAUGGAGCAAGCGUUAUCUGGAUUUACUAGGUGUAAAGGGAGCGUAGACGGCAGUGCAAGUCAGAAGUGAAAGCCCGGGGCUUAACUCCGGGACUGCUUUUGAAACUGUGCAGCUAGAGUGCAGGAGAGGUAAGCGGAAUUCCUAGUGUAGCGGUGAAAUGCGUAGAUAUUAGGAGGAACACCAGUGGCGAAGGCGGCUUACUGGACUGUAACUGACGUUGAGGCUCGAAAGCGUGGGGAGCAAACAGGAUUAGAUACCCUGGUA